GAUGUUAGCGGCGGACGGGUGAGUAACACGUGGGUAACCUGCCUGUAAGACUGGGAUAACUCCGGGAAACCGGGGCUAAUACCGGAUGCUUGUUUGAACCGCAUGGUUCAAACAUAAAAGGUGGCUUCGGCUACCACUUACAGAUGGACCCGCGGCGCAUUAGCUAGUUGGUGAGGUAAUGGCUCACCAAGGCAACGAUGCGUAGCCGACCUGAGAGGGUGAUCGGCCACACUGGGACUGAGACACGGCCCAGACUCCUACGGGAGGCAGC
rnacentral:rRNA from 1 species